rnacentral:rRNA from 1 species
ACGCUCGACACCUACGGGGCAGCAGUGGGGAAUAUUGCACAAUGGGGGAAACCCUGAUGCAGCGACGCCGCGUGAGCGAAGAAGUAUUUCGGUAUGUAAAGCUCUAUCAGCAGGGAAGAUGAUGACGGUACCUGACUAAGAAGCCCCGGCUAACUACGUGCCAGCAGCCGCGGUAAUCUGAGCGGGCUGGCAAGGC